UACGGGGGGGGCAAGCGUUGUUCGGAAUUACUGGGCGUAAAGGGCGCGUAGGCGGUUGGCUAAGUCAGCUGUGAAAACCACGAGCUUAACUCGUGGCCUGCAGUUGAGACUGUCUGGCUUGAGUGUGGGAGAGGGAUGUGGAAUUCCAGGUGUAGCGGUGAAAUGCGUAGAUAUCUGGAGGAACACCGGUGGCGAAGGCGGCAUCCUGGACCGGUAUUGACGCUGAGGCGCGAAAGCUAGGGGAGCAAACAGG
rnacentral:rRNA from 1 species